CUUCUAUUUAGCUGGCAAGCAGCACUGAAAGACAAUGUUCAGGCUCAUCUGCAUUGUUUUUAUCCUGAUAUAAUUUUUAUUUCAAGUACCAUUAUACAGUGUUGGGAUGGAAUUGGCUCAAGCUGAUGUCAAUAUUUAUUCUUCCAUAGCAAAUAUAUAAACCUUCUUCCAAAGCUGAGCAUCUUAAACAACAGGAACAACUAGCCAACAUCAGAAAUGAAUAUUACUUAAUAUACCAGUGCAAUUACACAGGCAUGAAGAUGGCAUAUGAGCAGACAGAACUAGAAACAGCACACAGGCAAACAUGGGACACAACAGAAAGUUCUGGAUUAGAAGAAAAUGCUUCCAGAAGGAUCAGCAAAGCAAUCUGAAAAAGGUUUAUGGUGAAGAGUGCUGGAAUAUGAUCUUCAGGCACUGAAGAAAGAAAAGGAAACCUGUACUGAGCAGAGUCAGGACUGUGUGAUGCUUUCUGUACAUAAGCAGCCUUGCAAUGAAGGAAAAGCCCGAGGCAACAUCGAGUCCUCCUUGUAAUGGGAACAGCAAGGUUGACUAUUAACAAACAAACUGUUCAGAUCAGAUGCAGAAAACUACAGUUCGAGUCACAAGGCCCAGAUUCAGAAGCAUUUGAGGGUCACAUCAGAGUCAAAGACACAUCAGCUGAGUUGACAGAAACACAAGAAGCUAGAACCCAUCUGAACAGGAACAGGAAAGGAAGAGAGAUAUCUGACAGGCUCGCUGGGGAGCGGUGUCAACACCCCAUUAAAAAAACAGAUAGGGAGAACUGGUGGUGCUCGCCUCAUUGCCAGGAGCUUCAGAAUAGACCUCUGGGAGAAAAUUCAGUUAAGAAGGUCACAAGAGGGCAGCCACACUUGGAAUGCCACACAGACGUGACAAGAAGCCCAGUUGUCAAGACCAACCAACAACCUACAGGUGAAAGCCUUCAUAAAAUGACUGUGUUCACUCUUUUCUACAGAAUGACCAGAUAUUAUCCAACAGUGCAAAAGGCUUCCUGUGUAACUACUGCUAGAAAGAAAGGCAAACUGCCAGUGGACACCAUCUUCGUCAUCACCAGCUUCCCUUCCCUAGCAGCAUAGGUUUCUGUCCUCUCAUCCUGGAAUCACAGACUGGUUGAAGUUGGAAGGAAGGCACCUCUGGGGUCCAAGCCCCAGCUCAAGCAGGGUGCCCAGCCCCAUGCCCAGGCAGCUGCUGAAGCUCUCCAAGGAGGAGUCCCCAAAACUCUGGGCAGCCUUUUGGCUCCAGCACCCGCCUGGCACAAAAGUGCUGCCUGAUGGGUAAGGGGAGCCACCUGUGUUCUAUUUUUUUGCCUCUUGUGAAUUAUUUUGCUGCAUGUCAUGCUCUUCCUUCCCGAACCAAGGCCAUAACUAUAUUUGCAAUACAGUGCUGAGUAGCAGACCCUUUCUUCUAAUCUGUCCUUCUGGUGAUGCCCAUUUGCCCAGCAGGUUUGUCUAAACUGUGUGGUCCGUGCAAGACCCUGUUGCAUUCCAGCUCUGUGAACAAAACUGUCAGAAACUCAAGAUUAUGGAAGUUUAACUUACUAAAAGGGCUUGUGGAGAAGGGUGUUUGGUCUGUGGUGUAAAGCAGCUGUGGUCACAGAAAAAUGUGUGGCUUAGAAAAAAAAAGAAGGCAGUCAGCUAACUGAAAUUUUCUUUUCCCAGGAACCUUUCAGUUGAAUCACAUAAUGAGCUGUGCCUGAAUUUAUUUAUUUAUUUAUUUAUUUAUUUAUUUUCUGUGGUUGAAAUUAGCAAUGUUUUGAUCAUGAAAUUUGGUGAUUGCAGCUGGGAAGCUAUGAAGUUGUUCUGCUUUUCAUGCCCUUUUCUUUUUUUUUUUUUUUCCAGCCAAUUUCAGAAUAUCUCUGAAAGCAAAUGCCUUCAUAGAUUUUUUUUUUUUUUAACAUAUAAUAAUGGUGGUUAUGGGGAAAAGUAAAAAAUGCUAUUUCCUAACAAGACUUUCUUCUCCCCUCUUCUUUAUAAUGACUCAGAAUGAAAGUAAUUCAGGGUGACAGGUUCUCACUGCUUGUAGUACAGCAUACAGAGAAACAGCAUAAGACUCAAAUGCAAAGCAAUGAAAGCCAUAACUGCUUCAGAGCUUCAUACAGCGGAGGAACAUGACUGGUACUUUGAGCAGAAUAUAUUUCUUGAAAUAAUCUAACUCCAGCAGGUGGAUAAAAGUUUGUGUCAUUUCUGUUGCAGAAUUUCAUGGUAUCAUGUAUAACACUCUUGAAAGUUUUAUUCCUGGAAAGUUCAGCUGUGACCAAAAGACUAGAAAGACAGGGAUUAAAAAAAAAAAUAUAUCCCCAAACCUCUGAGCCAAAGAUGUAGUAUAGAAUUUAAAUAACAUUUCAGGGAGGAUCACAUUUGGAUGCAUUUCAGAGAAGCUUAUUUAUUUUUUGAAUAACCACAUUACUCAAUGCAGUUUAGAAACAGGCAGGAGGGAACUGCCUAAAGGAUAAACAGAAGACAUUGAAAAGGGUUGUUAUACCCCUGCAACGUAUUUGGUAGACUGUAAAAAUAAUAGAGUUAAGCUGAAUGAAAUAUAAAGCAGAACAGUUAUGAAAUAAAAUCUGGACAGCUCAGGAUACA
rnacentral:lncRNA from 1 species